AGUCCCAGUACCGGUAUUCCACACAGGUACCGGUACUCAACAUUCAAAAUCUGCAGUUUGCAGAUUUCAGUGUCAGAACUCCAAUCUCGCACUGCGCCGAGUCCGUUUUUGCGUCCGUUUCACGCCACACGGCUCAAACUCGUCCCAACAUUCUACAGAUGUGUCGACAAGCCAUAGAUACUGCAGUCACUCCUACCACUAAACCCCAGGGAUACUACAUUAAAUUAUUAAUAAUUAAUUAUCAAUAAUAAAUUAAAUAAUUAUUUUAUUAUUUGAGCAAUAUAUAAUAAUUUAAAUAUAUUAAUUAGAUUAAUUAAUAAUUUAAUAUCAUAAUUAAAAUUAAAUUUAGACUUUGAUUAAUCUUGUUCCCACCUGGGAACAAGUUGUUCCAAGGACUCCAAAACUUGCAUCCAAACUCGAUGGAUUUCAAAAAUCUAUAUUCAAAUCCGAAACUGACCAAAAAUCGUAAACCCAAACUAAAUCUACAAAUCCGAACCUGAAAUAAUUGUUCCUCUCCAUAUGUGAAUAGAGAGGAAAGAUAGAGAGAUAGAAAAAGAAAAUAAAAAGAGAAUAGAUUAGAAAAUACAAUGGGGCAAAAUUACUUAAUUAACCCCAAAUCAAAAUACCAAAACUUUUUUUUUCAGGAUAUUUGGUGACUGGUACUUCUCUUAAGGCGGCCUGUUAUUGCAAGUCACAACUAACAAAAAUUAAAUAUGAGCCGUUGAAUAGGAAUAAAUAAACGACAUCUAAAAAUAAAAACUGUAGAAGAAUUGCUCUUACUAAUAAUAUACUUGCUCGACUCUCUCUCUCUAUAAAAAUAUGACGGUGUUUGGCUAAACGUACUAAAUAAUCUAGCUGGUAAUAUUAGAUUUACUUAGGAAUGAGAUUCAUCCAAAAGUACUAAUCUCAUUCCCUUGAAGGAGGGCGAAUAUCCUCAUAUUAAUGAAUUUGGGUAAUCAUAAUAUGUCUAAUUUCUUUCUUUCUCCUUACCCGCCGCCGGCUAGUUGGUAUUAUUUUUCUUUACACUCUAACCUCAUAUCUUUUUUUUAACUUUUUAUUUUCUCUUUUAACUUCAACUCUUUUUCUCUUUCUAAACUAAGCUCUCUCCCCCCUCUUUUUCUAAAAUCUCAACUCUCUCACUCCCUCUAAUCUCGACUCUAUUUCUCUUCAUAUUUCUUUAAUUAUGCUCUCUUUCUCUAGCCUAUGUUCUCUCUCUUUCUUUUUCUAAAAAGAUGUUGAAAUUUUUUAUGGCAUUAUCUAAAAUUAAUUAAAUAAAUAAAUAAAUAAAUUGUAUAUUUUUUGUAAACUUAAAUAACAUGACUAAGUAAUAUAACUGUGCGAACCAAACACAGGAAUGUCACAUUCUUAGUAAUAGGAUGAAUAGGAAUAAGAUUCUCGGACAUUUUUUUAUUGCUAGUAAUCUUUUAUAGUGCGAAUCAAACGCACCUUAAAAGAUUUUUGAAUGGAAAAUGUACAAGGAAUCGACAGAUGUGCAAGGGGU
rnacentral:lncRNA from 1 species